rnacentral:rRNA from 1 species
UACAGAGGGGGCAAGCGUUAUUCGGAAUCACUGGGCGUAAAGGGCGUGUAGGCGGUUUCGUAUGUCUGGCGUGAAAGCCCCGGGCUCAACCCGGGAAGUGCGUUGGAAACUGCGAAACUAGAGUCUCGGAGAGGAAGGUGGAAUUCCAGGUGUAGCGGUGAAAUGCGUAGAUAUCCGGAAGAACACCAGUGGCGAAGGCGGCCCGCUGGGCAGUGGCUGACGCUGAAGCGCGACAGCGUGGGGAGCAAACAGG